rnacentral:lncRNA from 1 species
UAGAUUUUAUGGGUUUCGAGAGAAAGUAUAGGAUCUAUGAAACUUACUUCAUAAAAGAACUAUGAUUUUGAUAAAUUAUUGAUUUUAAUUCGCAAUGGAGAUAUUGAAGUUGAAAUUUAAGAUUAAUUUCUAACCGGCACUCGAGAGAGGGGAGAGAAAUAUAUUAUGAUUUUUGCCUUUAAAUAUGGAAAACUUAACUGGAAUAAUUGGAAAUUAUUGAAUCAUAAUUGAGGGUCAGGUGAAAUCGUUCCCCCCUACUUCCUCAUCUUGAUAAUUUGAAUUCAUCAACUUUGACACAACAAAUCACGUUAUACUAGUUUAAAACAUUCAUUCAACCAAUUAUUCAUCUAAAUAAAGUAGAAGCUACAUAAUUAUAGUACUUAGUAAAAAUUGAAUUACAAUCUUUGUGGGUUCGACAUUUUAAUUCCUUUACUAUAUUACAAAACUUCACAUCGUACACUUGCGGUAUAAAUUACGUUGUACAAAACGUGUGGCACUUACUUUACAAUAAACCAAAUCCAUUAAAGUGUACUUACCAUAGCCUUAAUGAAAUUUUCGUAUAUAACUAACUAUUGUGUGAGAUAUGAUUUCAAAAUUAUUAGGAUCAAACUUCAACAAUCUCAUCUGAAAAUUUAUCGGUGUUCAAUGAGAGCAUAUUAAAUCUUUUAUGACAUUCGAUCACUAUUAUUUAAGAGACACAAUUCAUGAACUUAAUAGUGACCUUGUUGCACAUCAACAUCUCCCUCAACAUGAUGCUCUUGAGAUUUGAAUUCAUUAUCCUAUCUUUGAUAUUACUUGUUAGGAUUGAAUUUAAAUCAUCUCAUCCGAAAAUCAAUUAUUGUUGGUACAAUGUCCGAUACAUUUAUUAUUAUUAUUAUUAUUUGCUUUCUUAAUUGUACAAAUUCGAUAUUUUGAAAGUUUAUCAAAUGCAAAAGUCAGGUUGAAUGUGUUGAUUUGGUUCAGUCAUUAGGUUCAUGCUGAGUUUGAUGAGUUCGUACGUUGGUUAGAACUCAUCUGCUACACGGAUUUGUAUUAUCCAGAGGAUGAAUUUUCAAUUUUUUCAAUUUCCAUAUUUUUCUUUACUAAUCCAUAUUAUUAAAUCAAAUUUUAUAGUAUGAGAAAUAUCCUUGGGUUGCUUGUGACGCCAGAAUUCAAUUUAAAAUAUCUCCUAAUACUUUUCUGAAUUUAUCUGGAAAGAAAAUUUUAAGGAAUUCAUUAUUUAUUUUACUUUUCUCAUUGGGUUCUUCCAUCGAAUCAAAGACAAUUAAAAGUUCUUACAUUUCUUAUUGCGGUAUCUUUGGUAAGAAAUUAAUUCUACUUGUUUCUCUUUCUCUAUGCCUAGGGAUUGAGACAAAGAAAAUAAUCAUGCCUUGAAUACACAAAUUCAGCAUUACGUUUUUCUUGGAGGGAAAAAGAGGGACGACUCCUCGAGAUUGUGUGAAAACAAGAACGAAGUUCUUUUUCCAACUUGGGAAAUAUUCCGGAUACAUUCAUAGCAGUGGUGGUUCCAUUUCUCUACAAUUCACAAGGACAAGCAACGAGGAAAGUUUGCUUAAGACGUUUGUGUCAUGUUUUGUAUACAGAAUUAUUCCGUGAAUGUUUCCUACUCGAAUUGAUUGGACACCACCUAGCGAUAAAUGAUAAUGAAUAUGCUAAAUCUAGUCUUAAGAUUGGUUGGAGCACUAGUCUUCUAAAUAUCAUUGAUUUGUAAAUAAGUGAUUUAAAUGAUCGUGAUUGAAAUUCAAUUUCCUUAAAUGCCAUAUUUGAUGUAGUUGAUGCAAAGAUUUUAUCUAGAUUUCCAAUUGCAAAGUUAUUAAAGAAGCAUGGGACAUCUUACAAAACUAAAAAUCAUCACUAAUGAACCCAAAAAGCCACGAUGGUAACCCAGAGGAUCAUUAGAGUUCUUCAACCAUG